CUGGCGGCGUGCCUAACACAUGCAAGUCGAACGAGAAAGUGGAGCAAUCCAUGAGUAAAGUGGCGACCGGGUGAGUAACACGUGACUAACCUACCUCCGAGUGGGGAAUAACUCCGGGAAACCGGGGCUAAUACCGCAUAACAUCGCAAGAUCAAAGCAGCAAUGCGCUUGGAGAGGGGGUCGCGGCUGAUUAGCUAGUUGGCGGGGUAACGGCCCACCAAGGCGAAGAUCGGUAUCCGGCCUGAGAGGGCGCACGGACACACUGGAACUGAAACACGGUCCAGACUCCUACGGGAGGCAGCAGUGGGGAAUUUUGCGCAAUGGGGGAAACCCUGACGCAGCAACGCCGCGUGGAGGAUGAAGCCCUUUGGGGCGUAAACUCCUUUCGACCAAGACGAUAAUGACGGUACUGGUGGAAGAAGCACCGGCUAACUCUGUGCCAGCAGCCGCGGUAAUACAGAGGGUGCAAGCGUUGUUCGGAAUUAUUGGGCGUAAAG
rnacentral:rRNA from 1 species